GACAAAUACGUUUACUGGUCAUUUAAGUGGGGCAAAGGAAAUAUCCUUUUAAAACUCAAGCAAACUAGGUGUUUGUCUUGUAAACUGUCGGAGGAAAUAAGC
rnacentral:snoRNA from 1 species